GGAACGAAGGGCGACCACACAGAAGACAGUUAAAUUCUUGAAGUAAUAAGGAAAAAAAUAUAAACAAACACUCGGAUGCUAUUUUUAGACAUAUAGAGUCGCCCCUACUUUCCUCUCGUUUUACAAGAACAAAGGGACAUAAACCUAGGAGAUACAUAAAUACAGUUACUGUGAUGACAUACCAUCUGCAAGUAUAUGAGGCCCAAGCUAUAUAUGUCAAAUAUGUCAGGAAGGUUCAGCUGUCAAGAAGAAAUCGUUGCAUCAGCUCAAGCAAUUAUGUUGAUUGGAACAAUUGUCGUAAACUGAGGGUUUUAUGUCCAUGUGAACAAUCCCCGUCAAAUGAAGUCCAUCAAGGGCAAACAAGGUCAAAGAGAAUUGGUAAAUUUCAUUCCAAUUGUUACCUGGAGACACACCCAAAGUCAAAGAUAAUAGUUAAAAUCCAGGGUAUGGUAUCUAAUGGAUAUGCGCUAUAAAUUAG
rnacentral:lncRNA from 1 species